AUUUGAAGUGAUGAUAUCCAUAUGCUAAAUGAGUAAGGAGGGCAUGCAAUACACAGCCAGCACUGGGAAAGGAGAAAUAACAGAAUAAGGAGUGAGCUGAUGAAAUACAACAAAGGAAAAUGCAGUUUGAACCACUGGAGAAGUCUCCCUGGGUGACAUCUAAAUGGUCUACAAAUGGACUUUGAGCGGGAACUCCCAUUGCUCCCAUAAUGUGAAACAGCAUUGGACUAGUGUGCAGAGGCACGAUGUAUGGAAGGAAGCAUGCAGGAUGUAAUGUUUGGAUCCCUCCAAGCAAGGAGUGCUGGUAUGGUCCAUCUCCUAGGAGAGAUGAAUGGCGUGGUUGUGAAAUUGCCUGGCCAGCUAACCCAGACAUAAUGGAAGACAAAACAACUGAAUUUUUUUUUGGUCCCUGAACUAAUUGCUUAUUGAAAUGCACACAAACACGUCUUCUUUCCUCUUCUUCAGGCCUCUCCCAGUUAUUCUGGGUACUGCAAUGAUAAAAGAAAGUAAGGUCACAUCAUCAAAUCUCUGCCAAUUGAAACACAUCUAAUGGCGAGACGGCAUGUCUGAAGCAAAUGGAUAAAAAUCUCAUUUCUAAGCUAUUGGAUCCAAAAUUAUGCAGAUUACAAUCAAAUCCCUUUUGGUUGUUGUUGUUGGGUUUUUGUGGGGUUUCUUAAAGGCAUACAUCCAGUGAUUUUUUUUAAUCCCUAAAGUUGGGGGAUUUAAAUCCUAGGUAAGGAAGGAACCUCACAAAAUUCAUUUUGAAGCUACAAUUAAGAACCAAAUGGUCUACUGUUAUUUUUUUAAAAUGGCAGUUCAGAUCAAAGAAAGCCAUAGAGAGGAAAAGAAAAAGGUUUUCCCUGGCAGGUAAUUGAUGGGAUUUUUGAGCAAGAGGGUGAGAGGUGUGAACAGGAAUAUGGGUGAGGAAGGCCUGGAAGGCUGAAAGGAGUAAGACCUUUGGAGAGAAGAGGAAAUUCCUUUGAUGAAAGGUCCCUGAUAUCCCCGGUGAUUCAAAUCUUCCACAUAACAAUCUCAUUCAUUGUACCUACUUCAGGUCUCAGCUCUGUGCCCAUUAAUUUGACUCCCAAAGGAAAGAGCACAAUUUGGGAGGGGAAAGGACUUUUUUUUUAACACCCCUGCUUUUCCAUUUGAUUGCCAUACUUUCCUUACACAAAAGUCAGAGAUCUGAGGAAGACAGAGUUGACCUUGACAGUCUCUUGAGGUAUUCACAGAUAGCUAAGCCCUGCUGAACUGGUGUUCAGGAAGAGAAGGCAGGGGUGUGGAGGGUGGGGGUUGAUGGUGGCAAGUUCCUUAUUUGCAUUCAAAAAACAAUGGAUCUUGGAUGGCUUCUGGGUCAGGAUCAGAAUGUGUGAUCCUGCUUUGUCAUGGUAGGCAAGCAAAAAUCAUGUAAAAAUUUGGAAAAGUGACUUGUACUGAGCUACCUUAUUUCUAAUUUAAUUAAAACCGAAACAAAAAUAAAAAGGAGGUGGGGAGGGUGGUGCA
rnacentral:lncRNA from 1 species